rnacentral:rRNA from 1 species
CCUACGGGUGGCAGCAGUGAGGAAUAUUGGUCAAUGGACGAGAGUCUGAACCAGCCAAGUAGCGUGAAGGAUGACUGCCCUAUGGGUUGUAAACUUCUUUUAUAAAGGAAUAAAACGAGGCACGUGUGCCUUUUUGCAUGUACUUUAUGAAUAAGGAUCGGCUAACUCCGUGCCAGCAGCCGCGGUAAUACGGAGGAUCCGAGCGUUAUCCGGAUUUAUUGGGUUUAAAGGGAGCGUAGAUGGGUUGUUAAGUCAGUUGUGAAAGUUUGCGGCUCAACCGUAAAAUUGCAAUUGAUACUGGAAGUCGUGAGUACAGUUGAGGUAGGCGGAAUUCGUGGUGUAGCGGUGAAAUGCUUAGAUAUCACGAAGAACCCCGAUUGCGAAGGCAGCUUACUAAACUGUGACUGACAUUGAUGCUCGAAAGUGUGGGUAUCAAACAGGAGUAGAUACCCCUGUAGUC